UACGGAGGGGGCUAGCGUUGUUCGGAAUUACUGGGCGUAAAGCGUGCGUAGGCGGCUUUGUAAGUUAGAGGUGAAAGCCCGGGGCUCAACCCCGGAAUUGCCUUUAAGACUGCAUCGCUUGAACGUCGGAGAGGUGAGUGGAAUUCCGAGUGUAGAGGUGAAAUUCGUAGAUAUUCGGAAGAACACCAGUGGCGAAGGCGGCUCACUGGACGACUGUUGACGCUGAGGUACGAAAGCGUGGGGAGCAAACAGG
rnacentral:rRNA from 1 species